UCAUAUGCUUGUCUCAAAGAUUAAGCCAUGCAUGUCUAAGUAUAAGCUUGUUUUAUACGGCGAGACUGCGGAUGGCUCAUUAAAUCAGUUAUAGUUUAUUUGAUGGUCUCUUGACACGGCGCAAGCCGUAUCAUUUACUUGGAUAACUGUGGUAAUUCUAGAGCUAAUACAUGCGUAAAAUCUCGAGCGCGGGGGGUGGUCUUGGGAUGCAGGUGGCAACACUUGUGUUCCGUUCGGGCCAUCUUUGCAUGCGCGAAGGGAUGUAUUUAUUAGACACACAAACCAGCAUUCUUUUACUGGUGAUUCAUAGUAACUCUUUCGGAUCGCAUUUAUAUCUUCCUUGUGGAGAUGGCGACGAUUCAUUCAAAUUUCUGCCCUAUCAACUUUUCGAUGGUAGGAUAGAGGCCUACCAUGGUCUUAACGGGUAACGGAAAAUUAGGGUUCGAUUCCGGAGAGGGAGCCUGAAAAUGGCUCCACUUCUAAGGAAGGCAGCAGGCGCCAAAUUACCCAAUCCCGACACGGGGAAGGGUAGUGACCAUAAUAACCAUACAUGCCCUCGAACAAGAAUUC
rnacentral:rRNA from 1 species